UGAAUUAUAGAGGGAAACGUCCGUGGUUUAUAAGGUAGGUAUCAUGCGAUUGAUUUGGGAGUACAUUCGGCUUUGUGUUGUUGUGGUAAUCAUGAGUUGAGAUUAAUAAUUAGGUUGAAAUGUUCAAUUGUAGGUAUUACUAGUCUCGAAAGUGUUUUUGCUGUGACACCAUAAAAGGUGUGUAAACGUAACUCUGAAAAAUG
rnacentral:lncRNA from 1 species